AGAUUGAACGCUGGCGGCAUGCCUUACACAUGCAAGUCGAACGGCAGCACGGGAGCAAUCCUGGUGGCGAGUGGCGAACGGGUGAGUAAUAUAUCGGAACGUGCCCAGUCGUGGGGGAUAACGCAGUGAGAGCUGUGCUAAUACCGCAUACGAUCUAUGGAUGAAAGCGGGGAUCGCAAGACCUGCGCGAUUGGACGCGCGAUAUCAGUAUAGCUAGGUUGGUAGGGUAAACGCCUACGAAGGCACGAUCUAGUAGCUGUC
rnacentral:rRNA from 1 species